GGGGCUGACCGGUUUUGACAGGUCGAGUAAUUGCGCGUAUAAGCAUGCAGGCUCAUAGGGUGAGAGCCUUAAAAGAUAGUCCUACAUUAUAAUCGGCGAAGAGAAUUCUUACGCUAUGGCUGCCUAAUUUAGCAGAAUGUUAAAUUGGGCUUAGGGUAGAGCGUAGCGCUCCCCGGUCAUCAUCGUCCCUGGUCUUUGUUCCGCUGACCAGGAUUUAACGGUGUCGAAUCCGCAGAACUAGCGCUGAUAGCGUCGCGAUGUCAGUGUGAAAAUUUAGCGAAUAAGGUCAGGAUCCGGUUGUCUUUCACCUGUCCUGGCCCGACAACCAAUGAAAGACUAAGCAUGUAGAAAACUCGUAAGUUGCCUUCUCUGGACGAGGGUUCGACUCCCUCCAGCUCCACAG
rnacentral:tmRNA from 1 species